rnacentral:lncRNA from 1 species
CUGAAAGAAGCAGAACACUUGGAAUAAGCCUCCUCAUAGACAUUAACAUAUCCUGAGAAAACUAGUGGGAAUUGAAGCUGGCUGAACAUAAGGAUGAAAAGAGAGAUUCUGAAAAUAGAGGAACUCAUGAUCCACAAAUUGAUUAACACGAGAUUAUUCAGCGGAAACUUUCAAAGACAGAUUAGCUGUUAAAGGAUAGUGCCACCAUCAAUUUACUAAAAUAAACCAACUCUUUUCAGUUGUUGGCUUAAGGUAUGGAAAUUGGAAGUAAACAAGGUCCAGUUUGAAGUAAU